rnacentral:rRNA from 2 species
UUGACCUCAGAUCAGGUAGGACUACCCGCUGAACUUAA